rnacentral:lncRNA from 1 species
UUAGAAGCCUCAACAAAAAGAUAGAGAACAUUUCAAAGGACAAGAUAUUCUUAACAUUCAACACUAGUAUACAGCCUACUAGAAAUGGUCCAACAUCCAAACUGAUAAGAAGCUCCAAUCUUGUUGAGCCCAACCUUGUGGGGAAGGAGAUCAUACAUUCUAGCAGGAAACUGGUGGACUUGGUGCUUGCGCACAAGGAAGACAAGUCUUACAAGCUUGGUAUUGUUGGAACAGGAGGAGUUGGUAAGACAACACUAGCUCAGAAAAUAUAUAAUGACCAAAAAUUAAAAGGAAGCUUCAAGAUGCACGCAUGGAUUUGUGUUUCACGAGACUACAAUGAAGUAACUCUUCUUAAAGAGGUUCUUCGGAAUAUUGGUGUGCAUCAUGAGCAAGGGGAAACCAUAACAGAGCUACAAAGGAAGCUUGCAGAAACAAUAGAAGGGAAGAGUUUCUUUCUGGUUCUAGAUGAUGUGUGGCAUUUCAAUGUAUGGACGGAUUUAUUAAGACCUGUAUUACAAGAAACAACAAUCGGAGUAAUAUUGGUAACCACACGAGAUGAUCAAAUUACAAAGAGAAUAGGUGUACACCAUGCACACCGAGUUGAUCUUGUUAAACACAAUAUGCGUGACAUGAUGGCGUGUUCAGCAAGGAGGAUCUCUACCGAAGGAGGAGUAGUUAGACAGGAUAGAUAUUCAUGUAGUCUUUAUCUUGUUAUCCCUUGUAUUCUUCUUUCCCAAGUUCUAAUCUCUCCAACGACAUGUACGCGUAUCGGGCUCGCAACCCCUCUAUUUAACACGCAGCACGUCGGCCUGGAUCGGCAAGACGUUUACCGCAAUCGCACAUGGUAUACAGAGCUACCUUCUUCCCAAAACCCUAGCUACCCAUCUCCACCAAAGUGCGCAGCAUGUCUUCCUCCACCUCCUCCUCCUUCCAGCCAAACCUCAGCGGCGGAGUCACAGAGAAACUCUCCCGCACCAACUACAUCCUGUGGCGAACUCAGAUCACGCCACAGCUGCGGGGCGCCGGCGUCUAUCACUACGUCGACGGCACGUCGACCGAGCCGGCCAAAACCCACGUCACCAAAGAUGCCGCUGGGAAAGAAACCGAGGGGCCGAAUCCUCUCCAUCCGCUCUGGGUGAAGGAGGAUCAGCAGGUCCUUGGAUAUCUACUCCAACACCUAUCCAAGGAGGUGCUCGUCACGGUGACUGCGAUCACCACGGCGCGCGAACUCUGGGUGGCGCUGGCGAGCAUGUUCUCGUCACAGUCCCUCAGCCGCGUCAACAACAUUCGCACGGCGCUGAUCAACGCGCAGAAGGGCAGCCAAUCGGUGUCCUCCUUCUUCGCCACCAUGAGGGGGCUUGCUGAUGAACUCGCCGCGGCGGGAAAACCAAUCCAAGACGACUAGCUCAUAUCCUACAUCAUCCACGGGCUGGACCAAGACUAUCAGCCCCUCGUCUCCGCCUUGGACGCCCGAGUCACUCCGGUAACCCUUGAUGAGCUUUUCGCUAUGCUUAGCAACUUUGAUCAGCGUAUGGCGCAGUUUCACGGCUCCGGCGGCGGCAGCGGCUUCCGGUCCUCGGCCAACUCUGUCUCCAGAGGUCGCGGUGGCGGCUCUCGCUCUCGUUCCUCCUCUCGUGGCAAGGGGAGGUUCAGUGGCGGUGGUGGCGGCGGCGUCUCCAACAACACCCGCGGCGGCGGGCGCUCUGGCAGCGCAAAAGGGCGCCGUGGUGGCGGCUCCAACAGAUCGCGUCUGGACCUCCCUCGCUGCCAAAUUUGUGGCAAACUUGGUCACACGGCGAGGGACUGUUGGUACCGUUACGAAGAUGAUGAUGGUGAUUCCUCACAAGAUGAAGAAAAAGUUGCUGCUGCCGCCGAUGGUUCCUAUGGGGUCGACACAAAUUGGUAUGUCGACAGUGGAGCCACCAAUCACAUCACCAAUGAGCUUGAGAAGGUCACCAUGAAGGAGAAGUAUCAUGGAAAAGAUCAAAUCCACACGGCCAGUGGUGAAGGUAUGGGCAUACGUCACAUUGGUCAUUCAAUUUUUAAUACCCCCAAACGCAAAAUACAUCUCAAAAGAAUCUUGCAUGUCCCUAGUGCCCACAAAAAUCUUCUCUCUGUUCAUAGAAUUGCUAUUGACAAUCAUGUUUUUCUCGAGUUUCAUCCUUAUUUCUUUUUGAUCAAGGAUCAGGCAACGAAGAAAGUGCUCUAUCGAGGUAGAUGUGUUCGAGGGCUCUACCCGUUGAUUCCGGAGUUUAGAAGAUUCAAUAAACAAGCUUGUGGUGCUAUCAAGCUUUCUUCCACACGAUGGCACGAUCGUUUAGGACAUGCCUCUUUUUCUUUAGUUGAAAAGCUACUUAGGAAAAAUAAACUCCCGUUUAUUGGUGAGCAAAAUACUGAAACUAUUUGUGAUUCAUGUCAGUGUGCUAAAAGUCAUCAAUUACCAUAUCCUAUAUCUACUAGUGUCUCCACUAAACCUUUGCAAUUGAUCUUUUCUGAUGUAUGGGGCCCUGCUCCCUCCUCUGUUGGCAGACACACUUACUAUGUUAGUUUUAUUGAUGACUAUAGCAAGUUCACCUGGAUCUAUCUUCUCAAGAAAAGAUCCGACGUGUUUCAAGUUUUUAAAAACUUCCAAGCACUCGUUGAAAGGAAGUUUGACAGCAAAAUUAUAGCUGUUCAAUCUGAUUGGGGAGGGAAAUACGAGAAACUCAAUUCCUUCUUCCAAAACAUAGGCAUAUCUCACCAUGUAUCAUGCCCACACGCUCAUCAACAAAACGGGUCGGCCGAACGCAAGCAUAGGCAUAUAGUUGAGGUCGGUCUGGCCCUUCUAGCAGGAGCUUCUAUGCCUCUCAAAUUCUGGGAUGAGGCAUUUCUUACAGCUGUUCACAUCAUCAACAUGCUCCCUAGUCGUGUCAUCAAUAGUGAAACACCUAUGGAACGCCUUCUCCAUGUUAAACCAGACUACACAUCUCUCCGUGUCUUUGGCUGUGCUUGUUGGCCAAAUUUCCGUCCGUACAACAAUCGCAAACUCAUGUUUCGAUCAAAGCAAUGUGCUUUUCUUGGCUAUAGUGCUCAGCACAAAGGUGUCAAGUGUCUUGACAUCUCCACCGGACGGGUCUACAUCUCACGAGAUGUUGUGUUUGAUGAGACCAAGUUUCCCUUUGCGGACCUACAUCCCAAUGCCGGUGCUCUCCUACGCAAGGAAAUCUUGCUUCUGCCACCGCAUCUCUCUGGCUAUGAUCAAGGGGGCAUUACUAAUUGUGAUGAUCAUAUGUUGACUAACCCUACUAAUCACUUUUUAUGAGCCUUGUGAUGAUACAGGAAAUAGCGGCGCCAAAAUCCUAGAAAAUGGUGAAGAAAACAGUGCAGCAGCUCCAUAUUUCAUGUGCCCUGACCUAGGCAGCAAAUCCCCCUCGGGAUCUGGGCAGGUGCUGCCGUUGCGCAGCGAAUCUGCCUCGGGAUCAGAACUCUACCGCGGAUCUGCUGCACAGAAUCCGACAGGCGCAGGUGCGGGCCCGUGUGCAGCCGCGACAGCCGCGGGUGGGCGCACCGAUCCACCCACGCCAGCCACGCGGCGGACCCUGGCAGGCCGUGGGGACUCUCCUCGCGCGCACCAAUCGCCAGCGGACAGUUGGCGGGCCGGUGCUGGCCUGGACCGUUCACGGCCUCAGGCCCAACAGCUUGUUUACAAGCGGCGGGCUGUGACUCGCCCGACGAGUGCGGGGACAGAUCCUGCCGAAGUGGGGCCGGGGCAAUCACGAGGAGAUGAUGACGCCGGUCGGCCCAGAUCUUCUGUGGCUGAUUCGCCGCAUGCAUCACAGCUGGUGACCACAGAAGAUCCAGACCCGGCUGCUACUAUCGACAACGCCUGUUCUGGAGCUGCGAUCGGAUCCUCCUCGGGAUCGGUAGAGGAUCAACCUGAUCCGGGUAUGGGAUCUUCUGCGCCAGGGCUCUCUGCAGUGCAUCCUGCUACCACUUCACGUCGCACACGGCUACAACAAGGUCUGAUUAAACCCAUUGAUUAUAAACAUGUUGCAAAAUAUGGGAUGAUCUGUUCAACAGGUGAACCAGGAGAACCCAAUACUCUUGAAGAGGCCCUCGGUGAUGCACAUUGGAGAAAGGCAAUGCAUGAUGAAAUUGUGGCAUUAAGGAAAAAUAAAACAUGGCACCUGGUUCCUCCAAGACAAGGUAAAAAUCUUAUUGACUGCAAGUGGGUCUUUAGGAUAAAAAGAAAAGCUGAUGGAACUAUUGACCGCUACAAAGCCAGACUUGUUGCAAAGGGUUUUAAACAAAGGUAUGGUAUUGACUAUGAGGACACAUUUAGUCCAGUUGUUAAAGCAGCUACCAUACGCCUUGUCCUGUCCAUUGCUGUGUCUAGGGGAUGGAGUCUACGACAGCUAGACAUUCAGAACGCGUUUCUUCAUGGUGUUCUGGAAGAAGAGGUUUACAUGAAACAACCGCCUGGGUUUGUAAAUGCACAGGUACCACUUCAUGUGUGCAAACUUGACAAGGCUUUGUAUGGACUGAAAUAGGCUCCAAGAGCGUGGUAUUCUCGUCUCAGUAAAAAGAUGCAAGCACUUGGUUUUAUUCCUUCAAAGUCUGACACUUCAUUAUUCAUUUAUAACAAGUCAAAAAUAUCCAUAUUUGUUCUCAUUUAUGUUGAUGAUAUAAUUGUGACAAGUUCAUCUGAUGAAGCAAUAACAGCACUGUUGAAGGAUUUAAGUGCAGAAUUUGCUCUCAAGGAUCUAGGAGAUCUACACUACUUUCUUGGCAUUGAGGUUAAGCAGCACAAGGAUGGCCUUCAUCUCUCUCAAGAAAAGUAUGCAACAGACUUAGUGAAAAAGGCUGGUCUACAGAGUUGUAAGCCUGCGCCCACUCCUUUAUCUAGCACAGAAAAAUUAUCUCUUACUGAAGGAGAACUUCUGGACUCAGAAAAUAGUACAAAGUACAGAAGUUUGGUAGGUGCUCUUCAAUACUUGACAUUGACACGGCCAGAUAUCUCAUUUGCUGUCAAUAAAGUAUGUCAAUUCCUUCAUGCACCUACCACAGUUCACUUGACUGCUGCAAAGCGCAUAGUGAGAUAUGUGAAAAAUACAUUAAGCAUUGGUUUGAAUUUUAGCAAGUCAUCUUCCACACUUAUCAGUGCUUUCUCUGACUCAGAUUGGGCAGGAUGCUUAGAUGAUAGACGCGCAACCGGUGGUUUUGCAGUAUUCUUUGGACCUAAUUUGAUAUCUUGGAGUGCAAGGAAGCAAGCCACGGUUUCUAGAUCUAGCACAGAAGUAGAAUACAAAGCAUUGGCCAAUGCAACCGCAGAGAUCAUAUGGGUGCAGUCAAUUUUGAAAGAACUAGGCAUGAAAAACACUAAGGCUCCAUGUCUAUGGUGUGAUAAUCUAGGUGCUACCUAUUUGUCAGCAAAUCCAGUUUUCCAUGCUAGAAGUAAACAUAUUGAGAUAGAUUUUCACUUUGUUCGUGAGAGAGUUGGAAACAAACUCUUAGACAUUCGGUUUAUUCACUCCCAAGACCAAGUUGCAGAUGGGUUUACCAAAGCUCUUCCUACAAAAAGUUUUGAGGCUUUCAAGUAUAAUCUCAACUUGAUGAAGUUGUGAUUAAGGGAGGGUGUUAAACACAAUAUGCGUGACAUGAUGGCGUGUUCAGCAAGGAGGAUCUCUACCGAAGGAGGAGUAGUUAGACAGGAUAGAUAUUCAUGUAGUCUUUAUCUUGUUAUCCCUUGUAUUCUUCUUUCCCAAGUUGUAAUCUCUCCAACGACAUGUACGCGUAUCGGGCUCGCAACCCCUCUAUUUAACACGCAACACGUCGGCCUGGAUCGGCAAGACGUUUAUCGCAAUCGCACAGAUCUCAUGUCAGUAGAGAUGGGAUGGGAGCUGCUUUGGAAGAGCAUGAACAUUGACGAAGAGAAAGAAGUGCAGAAUUUAAGAAACACAGGGAUUGAGAUUGUUCGUAAAUGUGGUCGCCUUCCUCUUGCAAUCAAGGUUACCGCUAGUGCUUUGUCAAGCAGAGAACUAACAGAGAAUGAGUGGAAAAGGUAUUUGGGUAGAUUUAUUGGCUCUCAGAGCAUCCUCUUGGAUGAAAUAGAAGAAGCUUUGUAUCUAAGCUAUGAUGAGUUACCACAUCGUUUGAAGCAGUGUUUCCUUUAUUGUGCUUUGUAUGUUGAAGAUUCUGUCAUUGAACGUGAUGAAGUUACCUGGUUAUGGAUUGCCGAAGGCUUCAUCGAGGAGCAGCAAGGUCAACUAAUAGAAGACACAGCAGAAGAGUACUACUAUGAGCUAAUUCAUCGGAAUCUCCUCCAGCCAGAAAUGAUAAGUUUUGACCAGGCUAAAUGCAGAAUGCAUGACCUCUUAAGACAACUUGCUUGUAAUAUAUCAAGAGAAGAAUGUUUUAUUGGAGAUGUUGAAACAUUAAGGGGAGGAAAUAUGUCAAAACUUAGACGUGUUACUGUUGUCGCGACUAAGAAGGAUAUGUUAGUGUUACCUAGCAAGGAUAAGGUGGAUGUUAAGGUGAGGACUUUCCUAACUGUUAAGGGUCCAUGGAGAAUUGAGGAUACAUUGUUCAAGAGAUUUCUUCUUCUUCUUCGUGUUUUGGUACUGAAUUACUCACUUGUACAAAGCAUCCCAGGCUAUAUAGGAAAAUUGAUACAUCUACGUCUACUUAAUCUGGAUUAUACUGGCAUAUCUUGUCUUCCGGAAUCCAUUGGCUCCCUAAAGAACCUUCAAGUACUGAGCUUGAGAUGGUGUUAUUAUCUGCACAGUCUUCCUCUGGCAAUGACCCUGUUGUGCAGUUUAAGAUGCCUUGAUCUUUUUGGCAUAGAAAUAAAUCAGGUUCCAAAAGGCAUGGGGAAACUGAAGCUCCUCACUUAUUUAAGAGAUUAUCCUGUUGGUGAUGGAAGUGAUAAUGCUGUUAUACAAGAUGGAUGGAAGUUGGAAGAGUUGUCUUCUUUGUACCGAAAUAGGCUUACGCCCCGCUAUAUUGAUAUAGCAACCACUCACAGAUGAGGUAUCUUUCUCUUGUUAAAUUGGAAAGAGCAGCUUACUGCAGUACAAAUACAAUGCUUAGGGACAAAAACCAUCUAAAAACUCUAAUACUAGAGUGGACUGAACGUGGAGAGGGGUCAUAUUCAGAAGAAGAUGUUAGUAAUACCGAGAAGGUCAUUGAGCAGCUAAUACCUCCGCACAACCUGGAAUUCCUAUGUAUUUUUCAAUUCUUUGGUCAGCGGUAUCCCACCUGGUUUGGUACCACCUAUUUGUCUUCAUUAAUACACCUGAUACUCAGAAAUGUACGAUCAUGUGUGGAACUUCCACCGACCUGGCAGCUACCCAACUUGAAAUUUCUGAAAAUUGAGGGAGCACAUGCAGUUACCAAGGUUGGACCUGAAUUUGCUGGCUGCAAGAAGGGUGAUCCUGUAUGUGAUGAGUGGGUUGCUUUCCCAAAACUUGAAUGGUUGAUCUUCGAAGAUAUGCCCAACUGGGAGGAGUGGUCUUUUUUUGAGGAAGAAGUUGGUGUUGCUGGUGUAAGGGGAGAGGAUGGAGCUGCUGAGAUCCGAAAAGAGGAUGCCCAACCUGCAAGGGUGCGACUGCUGCCUCGUCUGUUGGAAUUGCAACUUCACGGUUGCCCGAAGCUGAGGGAUCUCCCGCAACAGCUUGGAAAGGGCACCGCUUGUUUGAAGGAGCUCAGCUUAAGAGGACUAAACAACUUGAAGGCCGUGGAGAACCGCCCUGUGCUCUCUGAGGUCCUUGUUAUUGGGUUUUGUGAAGGCCUGAAGAGGAUCUGCAACCUCCCUCAAGUGACAGAGCUGCAUGUAGGUGGUUGUCCAAACUUAAGCCAUGUAGUGGGGCUGGACAGUUUGCAGCAGCUGAGGCUUGGCGGGAAUAUGCAAGAGAUCUCUUCACGCUGGGUGCCUGGGCUUCAAGAGCAGCACCAGCGACUUCAUGGCGAAGACCUGGAUGUCUACACUUCGCCUAGUAGUUAGAUGGCUCAAGGUAUAUCUGAAAACUGCCUGCUGGUUUGAUAUUUAGCAUUGCAUCUUUGAUUCUCCAGCAACCAUAAUUCGCUUAUGCAACAGAAUUCUUUUUUGAUUUCCAUUGGCAGCAGACUGCAAGCGUAUGAGUUAUUGAUGUUGCUCUAAGUUGCUUGUGUGUGUUCCUUCUUUAACUAACAUGUACUGUAAACCCCUGCUAUUGCUUACGUUCUCGUAAUUUUCCUCUUAGAGUUGAUAAUAUGGGCAAACGGUGAAAGGUGGCGACAAGUUUGUUCAAGGAGCUAUCAGUGGGAGGAGAAGCGUGAAGGACAAGGGGCAAAGUUCUGUUCUCUGUGAUGGAGCUGAAGAAGAAGAAGAAGAAGAAGAAGGAAACUGCAGAAACUACUUAAUAGCCACACCAUCUGCCAAAAAACUUAAAAGUGCAAUGCAGUGCUCUUCAGUGGUACUACUAUCGUUUUCUUUUCUGAACUUAAUUUAUUGUGUGAUGGAGAUUGAUGAUACUCUCGUACGUUUUAUCUGUGUUUUUUUAAGCUAAGUGUAUGAUCUGUUUUUCGCUACUGAUAGGCGCAGUGGCUGUUUAGUUUAGUUGGGAGGAAUUGGACAUAUUUGGUUAAUUGGAACGUUGCCUGUAAUCAAACUGAAGCGAGGCGCGUCUCGUGUGUAUAGUAUUUGUUUACUCCCACGCUGGAUUGGAUGUGAUCAAAACUUAAAUCUUAUGUGCGAGACUAAUAAGGUUGCAGCACUCAUGGACGGACUGCAAUCAAUUAAUCAAGACAGGUUUUAUUUUCAGGGGACACAGUUCAGUUCGCAACUGUCUGAGCACACUGAGCAAAACCCGCCAUCGCUCCAAGCUGAUCGAUGGUGUGCAUGUGUGUGGUUUCAUUCUUUAAACUUAAGCAGUGAAUUUAUUUCUUUGCUGCACACUGUACCUAUCGUGCGUGACUGUCAUGCUCUGAACUAGUUGAGGUCAGAGAUGCUCAAGAUUCAGAGAUCACGCAAGGAAAGCAAUGCACUGAGAGGGAUUCUAUUGGAGAAAGUACUUGAUUACAGAAGGGGGUUUAUGCCGGCCAGAACAUGGCGGCGGCCUUCUAGGGUUCAACCCCAAAUAUAUAAGAGAUAAGAUAGACAUGCCUUCUAGCUUACACAGGUUAUAUAGCCCAUCACACAAACAAGCAAGGGAAGGAGGUAACGGCGGGUGACUAUGAUCCCUUGGAUCCGAGAUGGAUGGUUUCGAGUCAUCCGCCGCAGCGAAAGGGUAAGCGAGCUGCGGAUGUACGGUAAGUGUUGAAUUCUUCAGUAAUGUUCAGAUUUUCAGGGAGUUACCAAGUGUUGGGUCCUGACAGUGACACGGUUUCGCUCUUUGGAUGUAACCGAUGAUUUUCUUCUUUGAAUGGAAUUGACAUCUGGGGGUUUGCCGCAUCGAACGUGUAUAACCUGUAUGUAUCGUCAAAUCUGUGUGUGUGAUCUGGUGAAGGAAAACGUAGACGUCUGAUGGAGGACGAAGGUGAUGCCGACCUGACACAGCUACAGAAUAAACACGUCAGGAACCUGUGCAGAGCGGCGAAGGUUGCUGUUGCUAAGCUCCAGGAGCAAAACCCUGCGCCGGAGCUCUGGAACUUGAGCAAACAGCAAAGGGAGGCCGGCGACGACAACGGAGGUGCCCAAGUACGUUCUGAAGCAGCUAUCUAGUCUAGGGGAGAAGCAUGAGCUCUCUGAAAGACACAAGCUCUGUUCUCUGCAAAUGCAAUGAUGCUCUUCGCUACUAUCUUUUCUGAACACAAUUAAGGCCGUGUUCGGAAUCCAUCCCAUCCGCUCCGACUCCGCGGAGUUGUAGAGCUCAGUUUAGGCCGCUCCGUAAAAAUGAGCUAGAGGCUCGUCCGCUCCGGAGCAGAGUGGAGGGAGCGGAGAGGAGCCGAACGCGGCCUAAGUGUCUACUGUGAUGCAGAUGGAUGCAUCUUAUCCGCAUCUUAGUUAAAUAUAAAUGCAGGAUAGCCGUUUAGUUGGAGGGAAAUGAAUAUAUUGGAUUUAUUACACUUUAUAUUUGCAUGGAAGAUUAUUUAGACAGUUUGCCUGCAAUGUAUUGGUGUAUAGUGUACUACAGUUAAAUGCAAACUGCUGCAUAUGUCCUCGCAGCUGGCUCCUGUAUAACACAAGACAUCAUGCCUCUGUUUUUAAUUGUUGUCUUCAAAAACACUUGCACUUAAUUUGUUCUGGGAUCAAUACUUUGGUUUCAAAAAAAAAAACUGUUGCCUAUUUGUUGCAUGAGCUAACUGGAUUCAUGUUUUCUGACAAACAAUAAGUAUAAAUAAAAACAUGAGCUUAGAAUUUAACGGCGGCCUUCGUAAGUGUCAAUAAAUUAUCACCGAGAUAUAGAGCAGGUCACGCGUAUUAAUUCGUGAAUAUGAUUUAUAUUGAUCCAAACUUAAUCUAUUCAUUAUUGGCACCGGCGAUUGCUACCGGUAGCUCGCCAAUAUCUUUCAGAAGACUAUUCCUGCUCUCUGCCUUUAAAGACUAUGUUGUCGUGACCACAAACGCAAGCAGAGGAGGGCCAAGAUACUGACUACUACCUCCGUCUCAAAAUAUAAGACGUUUUCGUAGGCCACUACUAUCUCCAUCUCAAAAUAUAAGACGUUUUCGUAGGCCUAAGAAAACGUCUUAUAUUUUGAGACGGAGGUAGUAGUAUUUAUUAUAUACUGGUGUGCAUGGUAGCUAGCCAAUAUCCUUUGCUCUUGCUUGGCUCUAGUAUAAUUAGAUUAGUUAGACUGUUGUCUGCAAUCAAAACUGUAGCGAGGCCUUUCUACACAAACUGCUGUAUGUGUCCUCUCAGCCGGCUCCGGUAUAACACAAAACAAUAUCCCUCUGUUUCUAAUUUUUGUAUUUAAAUGCAUUAAAUUGUUUUGGGAUUAAUACUUGCAUUUCAACAAAAAAAUGCCUCCCUAAAAAAAUUGUUCUUAUUUAUGGAAUGACCUAACCUGAUUCAUGUGUGCUGACAAAAAAGAAAUUGAAAAGAUGAACUCAGAAUUUAACAGUGGCCUCCAUAAGUCUCAAAGAAUUAUCGUCGAAAUACAGUACAGGCCACACGAAUUAAUUCAUGAAUAUAAUUUAUAUUGACCCACACUUAAUCAAUUCAACGGCACCGACGAAUGCUACUAGUCGAUAAAAUAUCAAUGACAAUAAGCAGCCAGUGGGCAGCUCACCAAUCUCUUUCAGAAGACUAUUCCAGCUGCCGCAUUUAAAGACCGUGUUGUGUGGCCACAAGCGCAAGCAGAGGAGGGCCAAAAUACUGACUUGUAUUUAUCAUCUACUGGCUCUAGUAUGCUUCUGCUAUGCAUCACAAAAUCUCAGAAAUCUGAAGAUUUCGUUCAUUCCCUUCUUCUGCAACUGCAAGCAGAUGAGUUUUAUCUUGAUCACUGUUGAUUGAAGUAAUCCUGUAUUCAGGUAUAUAUAUUCAGUUUUUUUUUGACAAUCAGAACUUUUCCAUUCAGUUUAGCUAUCUGUUUUGUUCAAUAGUUGGUCGAUCAUCUUGUAUCAUCUAUUGCAGGUGUAGCACCAUGGUUUUCUCCUGGUGAUUGGUCGAUAAUCUUCCUUUAUCUAUUUCGUUUAUAGCUUGCACUCAGCCUUGCGAGAUCUUGAAACUAUCGAUAGGCUGGAAGACUGGUUCUAAGGUAAGACUUGCUGCCGUACCUCAGAGAGCUUCGGACCUUAGUUUCAUAACUACAGUGGAAUGAAUUGUGAUGAUUUAUAGGCUAGCAUGUCGGAAAACAAUUAGAGUUAAGAUGGAUUUGACAACCACAAAUAAUUAGCUGGUUGAUCAAUCUGUAUCUAACUGUAUGUUGUAACUAAAUGCAACAUUUUCAGUAGUAGUUCGGUGUGGAGUCUACUAUGCAGAUUGGCAACCGGAAAGAAAAUUAAAGAACAGAAUGCCAGAUGAUUAAGAAUUUAGACCUUAAUACUUGGCGCUAGCGCUCAAGCUGUAUUUGGAUAGUUAUAUUAUGCUAAAUUAUUGAAAAUGUAAAUGGCAGCCCACUAGUGAUAAAUUCCGUGAGCCUUGUCCUACUUUCAAAGCAUGUUAUCAUACCUUGUGCAUCCAUUUUCAGCUUUCGGUUUCUGAUAGUCUCAAGGAAUAUCCUAGUGUUUUUUGUGGACCUCUGGCGCUGAGUUUGUCUAAUACAUGGCUGCCAUACUUGAAACUUUGCUUAAAUCAAGUGUCAAUAAGUUGCAAGAUGUAAUUACAGAUGAGGCCAUACUAAUCCUAGGGGUGGAAGAAGAGCUCACAAAACUGCUGCGGCGAGUGGAACUAAUUGAGUGUUGUAUAUACGAUGCUGAGAAAAGAAGAACAAAAGAGCAAGCAGUAAACAACUGGCUUGGUCAACUGAGAGAUGUUAUAUAUGAUGUUGAUGAAAUCCUGGAUGUGGCUAGAUGUAAAGGAAGCAAGCUACUGCCUGACGAUCCUUCAUCAUCAUCAAGCAAAUCGGUUGCAUGUAAAGGCCUCUCGGUUUCCUCUUGCUUUUGUAGCAUCAGGUCACGUCGUGAUGUUGCUGUUCGGAUUAGAAGCCUGAAUAAAAAGAUUGAGAACAUUGCAAAUGACAAGAUAUUUUCAACUUUCAAUAAUAGUACACAGCCUAUUGGAAAUGGUCAACCAUCAAAACUUAUAAGAAGUUCCAACCUUGUUGAGCCCAACCUUGUGGGGAAGGAGAUUGUACAUUCUACCAGGAAGUUAGUAGACUUAGUUCUUGCACACAAGGAAUACAAGUCUUACAAGCUCGGUAUUGUUGGAACCGGAGGAGUUGGUAAGACAACACUAGCUCAAAAAAUAUACAAUGAUCAGAAAGUAAAAGGAAGCUUCAAGAUGCACGCAUGGAUUUGUGUUUCACAAGACUACAAUCAAAUAACUCUUCUUAAAGAGGUUCUCCGGAAUAUUGGUGUGCAUCAUGAGCAAGGUGAAACCAUAACAGAGCUGCAGAGGAAGCUUGCAGAAACAAUUGAAGGGAAGAGUUUCUUUCUGGUUCUAGAUGAUGUGUGGCACUCCAAUGUAUGGACGGAUUUUUUAAGACCUGCAUUACAUGAAACAACUGCCGGAGUAAUAUUGGUAACCACACGAGA